AUACGGCCAUGUCACGUUGAAGUGCCAGUUCUCAUAAGGUCUUCGAAGUUAAGCAACAUCAAGAAUGGUCAGUACCUAAAUGGGUAACCGCUUGAGAAUACCAGGUGCUGUAUG